UACGUAGGGGGCUAGCGUUGUCCGGAAUCAUUGGGCGUAAAGCGCGUGUAGGCGGUCCGGUAAGUCUGCUGUGAAAGUCGGGGGCUCAACCCUCGAAUGCCGGUGGAUACUGUCGGGCUAGAGUGCGGAAGAGGCGAGUGGAAUUCCUGGUGUAGCGGUGAAAUGCGCAGAUAUCAGGAGGAACACCGAUGGCGAAGGCAGCUCGCUGGGACGAUACUGACGCUGAGGCGCGAAAGCGUGGGGAGCAAACAGG
rnacentral:rRNA from 1 species